rnacentral:lncRNA from 1 species
UCACACAUUUACACAGGAUCUAGGAUAUAUAAAAUUUAUAGGAAUAAAAUUUUAUAUUUUUUCAACAUCGUUUAUUUAGUAAACAAAUCAUAUCAAAAUGAAAGGUAAAAUUUAAACAAUUUUUAAUAAAUUGAUGAGGAUAGAGCUUCUAAAUUCAAGAUCCAGAAUGUUGAUCUCGAUAUUCUAGAUAGUUUAAAAUAUUUUUUAUCAAAAUUUGAAUGAAUUUAAAUUCUUCUACAUCGAUUGUUAAACUACAAACUCGUUAUACUAGUUAUUGAAAAUUAGUAACAUUGAAAUGGUUGAUUAUUAAGUAAACAAUGUAAAAAAACAUAUAAAAUUUUAUUCUUAAAAGGUUUAAAUAUUUUAGAUCAGUUUUAACGGUGUCGAUCAUUAUUAGAAACAUUCUAAGAUUAAAAAUGAGACUCGUACGGGAGCUCCUCUUCUAUUAAUAGUAUAGUAACCAUGCUCUAUCUCUCGCUCUAUAUAUAUAUAUAUAUAUAUAUAGAGAGAGAGAGAGAGAGAGAGAGAGAGAGAGUUUGAUUGGGUUACUAUCGGUAGUAAACUGUUUGGUUUACUACCGAUUUGUUUUUUAUGAUAGAGCUUCCAAAUCGACGAUCGACACCAUUAAACAUGAUCUAGACUAUUUAAAUUAUCUAGAAAUCAAGUUUAAUGAUUUUUUGGCAUCACUAACUGAACGAUCAAAGAAUCACAAAAUCUAUAAUUUUAAUAGCCGAUAUGGUGCGUUUGCUCGUUUAACGGUAUAGAAAAGUUCAAAUCAACUAAAUUUUUGUUAAAAAAUUCUUUAAACUAUUUAAAAUAAGAUCUAGACUCUAAAUCUCAAAUAUAAAAAUUGUAUCAUCACUUUUUGAAGGAUAUUCAUUUCCAGCCAUUCAUUUUUCUGUUCACUUGAUGGACAAGAGAACAAUAUCAAAAAUGUGUGAAAUUUGAUUUUCAGAUAGUUUAAAUAGUUUAGAUCAUAUUUAACGGUGCCGAUCAUUAAUUUGGAAGCUCUAUCAUCGAAAACAAAUCGGUAGUAAACCGAUUCGUUUACUACCGAUAAUAUUCUAGCACAACUAUAUAUAUAUAUAUAUAUAUAUAUAUAUAUAUAUAUUUUCAUGGUAACUCAUUCCAAAUU